rnacentral:rRNA from 1 species
GACAGCAAUAUGAAGGCCAGGCUGAAGACUUUGCCGGAUUAGCUGAGAGGUGGUGCAUGGCCGUCGUCAGUUCGUACUGUGAAGCAUCCUGUUAAGUCAGGCAACGAGCGAGACCCACGCCCACAGUUGCCAGCGUACUCUCCGGAGUGACGGGUACACUGUGGGGACCGCCGCUGCUAAAGCGGAGGAAGGAAUGGGCAACGGUAGGUCAGUAUGCCCCGAAUAUCCCGGGCUACACACGAGCUACAAUGGUUGGUACAAUGGGUAUCUACCCCGAAAGGGGACGGGAAUCUCCUAAAACCAAUCUUAGUUCGGAUUGAGGGCUGCAACUCGCCCUCAUGAAGCUGGAAUCCGUAGUAAUCGCGUUUCAACAGAACGCGGUGAAUACGUCCCUGCUCCUU